UACGUAGGGACCAAGCGUUGUUCGGAUUUACUGGGCGUAAAGGGCGCGUAGGCGGCUUAACAAGUCACUUGUGAAAUCUCCGGGCUUAACUCGGAACGGCCAAGUGAAACUGUCAAGCUAGAGUGCAGAAGGGGCAAUCGGAAUUCUUGGUGUAGCGGUGAAAUGCGUAGAGAUCGGCAGGAACACCCAGGGGGAAACCAGUCGACUGGGCAUCUACUGACGCUGAGGUGCGAGAGCGUGGGGAGCGAACCGG
rnacentral:rRNA from 1 species